rnacentral:rRNA from 1 species
AUGAACCUCGUCAGGAUAUGGGGCUUCUGCUCCGAGCACUCGCACCGGCUCCUCGUCUCAGAGCACGUCGACAACGGCUCGCUCGACAAGGCCCUCUUCCUCCGCGGCGCGUCGUUGGGGUGGCACGCGAGGUACGGGAUCGCCGUCGGCGUCGCCAAGGGGCUGGCAUACCUCCACCACGAGUGCCUUGAGUGGAUCGUGCACUGCGACGUGAAGCCCGAGAACAUCAUGCUGGGCGCCGACCUGGAGCCCAAGAUCGCCGACUUCGGGCUCGCGGAGCUGCUGAGCCGCUCCCGGGUGCAG